AUUUCGCUCUCUCCUCCUCCUCCUCCUCCGCCGCCGCCGCCGCCGUUUGUUUGCUUCAUCGGAGAUGUCUUCUGCGCGGCAAGCAGUAGCUAAGAUGGUGAAGAUGAAUAGUCAUAUUAUUAACCGAUUGCUCUCUCCUUCUUCACCCGCCGGAACCCUGACUACUGCUCCGUCCUUCUCCGGCGGUGGUGCUGGCCGUUCCGAGCAUCGGAGGAGGAUCAACGCUCGCCUCUGGUUUCUUCUAUCUGGAAAUGCAGCUGUUCUUGUUGCCAUCAAUUCGAACGCGGUGCUAGCAAAAGAUGCAUCCGUUGAUAAUACCAGCGAUGCAGUGCAAUUGCGCAGAAUCGAGGAUGAUUCAGUCAAAUCUAACAUACAUACCUCUAAGUGGAGAGUUUUUACUGAUAAAGGCAGGGAAUUCUUCCUUCAGGGAAAAGUGGAGGAAGCUGAAAAGCUGUUUGUUGCGGCGUUACAGGAAGCUAAAGAAGGUUUUGGCGAGAGGGAUCCACAUGUUGCAUCCGCAAGCAACAACUUAGCAGAGCUCUAUAGAGUUAAUAAGCUAUAUCAUAAGGCAGAACCAUUGUAUUUGGAGGCCAUCAGCAUACUUGAGGAGUCAUUUGGUAGUGAAGAUAUACGAGUUGGUUCCGCCUUGCAUAACCUGGGGCAGUUCUAUAUUGUACAGCGGAAGCUGGAUGAAGCUCGUGAUUGCUAUGAGCAUGCUUUGAAGAUUAAACACCGUAUUCUGGGUCUUAACCAUACAGAUUGUGCGGAUACUAUGUAUCAUCUUGGAACGGUGCUACACCUCCUGGGAAAUCAAAAGGACUCUGUGGCCCUCAUUCAUGACUCCAUUAGAAUACUUGAGAAUAGUGGACAAGGAGAGUCGACAGUGUGCUUAAAGAGAAUGCGAUAUCUUGCUCAGAUAUAUCUGAAAUCCAAACGUUUUGAGGAGGCCGAGAAGGUACAGAGAAAGAUCCUGCAUAUAAUGGAACUGACAAAGGGAUGGAAUGCGUUGGACACAGCAAUAACAGCUGAAGGGCUAGCACUAAAUCUCCAAUCCACUGGUAGCUUAAAGGAAGCUGAAGAGCUUCUUGAAAGAUGUCUUGAUGCUCGAAAAACCUUACUUCCUCAAGAUCAUAUUCAGAUUGGUGUGAACUUGCUUCAUAUUGGUAGAGUGGCAAUGCUGAUUUCUGAACAAUUGAAGAAUAUCGACCAUCCAAAAGCAAUUUCUGAGCUUGAUAAGGCCAAAGAAGUUUUACACGAGUCUGUAAGGUAUGGCUUGUGAGUGGAACUUGCUCUCUGCCUGUCGGAUUUAUUCAGAGCCAAAAGCUACCCCUUCCUGUGGACUCUAAAUCUGUGCCGUAGUCUAUAUCAGUUUGGAUUAGUGUGAGGCCUACCGCCAUUUCCUAAACUGGUACAAACAAAUCCCAGACCUCCUACCAACCUAGGUAUGUAUCAUUUGUGGGUGAUAAGCAGUCAGCACAAUACGGUAUUGUAUGCCAUGGCAUGAAGACAACUUCUAAGUCACUUUUCAUUUCCAAGCCACUCAUAACUCCAUAUUGUACAUGGGAGGUUUGAUAUGGAAAUCAACAUGUAAAUAGAGACUUAAUGGUGAAGUUUAUAUGGGAAUGAACUAUCAGGGUAGUCUAAAGUCUAAAGUGUUUGGAGUUGCAGCAUGCUAGUACUUAUUUGGGCAGUGUGCGGUGAUCAUACAGGAUUUGUAGAGGAUCUGACUUGGGCAAAAGCUUAGUCAGAUUUGUUGAAUUGGAUCGGUUAAUUGUACUGCAUGGCAAAUGGGGAGUAGCUAUACUUAAAUGCUACAUGUUGGUUCAGAUUGGUGGAAGGUUUUGUUAUGUUGAGAACUUGAGACUCAAGUUCCUUUUCUGUGUAGGAUAGGAUAUUAUUCGUUGGAUAAAUUGAGAAAGAAAAAAAAGAUUGGUAAUUCUGGAGCAUCAGGUGAAAUUGGAAACAAUGGGCAGGUGCCGUUGGUCAUAUUG